rnacentral:rRNA from 1 species
UACGGGGGAGCAAGCGUUGUUCGGAUUUACUGGGCGUAAAGGGCGCGUAGGCGGCCACCGCAAGUCGACUGUGAAAUCUCCGGGCUUAACCCGGAAAGGUCAGCCGAUACUGCGGGGCUAGAGUGCAGAAGGGGCAACUGGGAAUUCUCGGUGUAGCGGUGAAAUGCGUAGAUAUCGAGAGGAACACCUGCGGCGAAGGCGGGUUGCUGGGCUGACACUGACGCUGAGGCGCGAAAGCUAGGGGAGCGAACGGG